GACGAACGCUGGCGGCGGGCUUAACACAUGCAAGUCGAACGGAAAGGCCCUGCUUGUGUGGGGUGCUCGAGGGGCGAACGGGUGUAUUGCACGUGAGUAACCUGCCCUUGGCGUUGGAAUAACUGCAGGAAACUGGGGCUAAUACCGGAUAGGAGCUCCUGCUGCAGGGUGGGGGUUGGAAAGUUUAGGCGGUUGGGGAUGGACUCCCGGCUUAUCAGCUGGUUGGUGGGGGAGUGGCUUACGAAGGGUUUGACAGGUAGUCGGCCUGAGAGGGUAACCAGCCACCUUGCGACUGAGAUACGGACCAGACUCCUACGGGAGGCAGCAGUGGAGAAUCUUGCACAGUGGGCGGAAGCCUGAUGCAGCAACGCCGCGUGCGGGAUGACGGCCUUCGGGUUGUAAACCGCUUUCGCCUGUGACGAAGCGUGAGUGACGGUAAUGGGUAAAGAAGCACCGGCUAACUACGUG
rnacentral:rRNA from 1 species